rnacentral:lncRNA from 1 species
CAGUGGAUUCCAGGGUUGUGAGAUUCAGUGACUCAGAAAUGUUCUUCCAUCUUUCAGGAUUGUCAUCUUCAGGGUUCACCAGUCUCUGAGGGGAAGUAGCAGCCACAUAUUUCAGUGUCUCUUGCUUUGGAGUGAGGGGAAAUUUUAUCUGAAGACCACUGGGUUAGCAGCUUAUUCCCAAAGUAAUGACUGGUAACGAAGAUGGAAUUAUCAUGACUCGCACAGACCAAUCAUCUGAGGACGAGUAUCUGCAUCGGCACUCCUUUUUGAUGACUUGGUGAAGCCCUAACUUCAUCUCUCUUAACGUAUAUUUCUUCCAAGCUAUCCCCAAACUGGAAAAUUUUAUGGCGGAAAGAACUUCCAAAGGGAAAGCAUGUAACCUGAAAUGGCC